GUGGGGAAUCUUGCACAAUGGGCGAAAGCCUGAUGCAGCCAUGCCGCGUGAAUGAUGAAGGCCUUAGGGUUGUAAAAUUCUUUCGUCAGGGAUGAUAAUGACCGUACCUGAAGAAGAAGCCCCGGCUAACUUCGUGCCAGCAGCCGCGGUAAUACGGAGGGUGCAAGCGUUAUCCGGAAUCACUGGGUUUAAAGGGUACGUAGGCGGUUAAUUAAGUCAGUAGUGAAAGACUGUCGCUCAACGACGGAUGUGCUAUUGAUACUGGUUAACUUGAAUCAGGUUAGAGUUGGCGGAAUGGGUCAUGUAGCGGUGAAAUGCUUAGAUAUGACUUGGAACACCGAUAGCGAAGGCAGCUGACUGAGCCUUGAUUGACGCUGAGGUACGAAAGUGUGGGUAGCGAACAGGAUUAGAAACCCGAGUAGUCC
rnacentral:rRNA from 1 species